rnacentral:rRNA from 1 species
CGCAUCUGUGCAUGCAGCAUAUCAAUAAGCGGAGGAAAAGAAACUAACAAGGAUUCCCCUAGUAACGGCGAGUGAAGCGGGAAGAGCUCAAAUUUGAAAUCUUAAAGGGUUUCCCUUUACGAAUUGUAGUUUAAAGAAGUGUUUUCUGUUGAGGUUUUGGUAAAAGUUCUUUGGAAUAGGACAUCAUAGAGGGUGAGAAUCCCGUAUUUGACCUUUACUUUCAACUUUGUGAUACACUUUCAAAGAGUCGGAUUGUUUGGGAAUGCAGUCCAAAAUGGGUGGUAAAUUUCAUCUAAAGCUAAAUAUUGGCGAGAGACCGAUAGCGAACAAGUACCGCUGAGGGAAAGAUGAAAAGAACUUUGAAAAGAGAGUUAAACAGUACGUGAAAUUGUCAAAAGGGGAGCGUUUGACACCAGUGUUGUUUUUCUGAAAAUCAAUUAAAGAACUGUUUAUGCUAAGCUGUUUAGACUUUAUCAGCUAACUGUUUAGUUUUGAGCUUUUCUUUAAUGCACUUUUCAGUUAACAAGUCAACAUCAAUUUCUUUUGCUGUAAAAAGCUUUGAGGAAGGUGGCUUGAGAUUCGUCUUAAGUGUUUAUAGCCUCUUGCCUAUGCAGUCGGAGAGAUUGAGGUCUGCAGCGUAGAUCCUUCGGGGCUAAAUGCAUUUGUGCUAAGUUAUAGCAUUUUAUAGACAACUUGUUGACUAUGAUUUGUCUUGUAGCUUACUCGCUUAUGUUAUUUUACCUACGCUUAGGAUGUUGAACGCGCACAGAGUCUC